GAUGAAGAACGUAGCGAAAUGCGAUAAGUAAUGUGAAUUGCAGAAUUCAGUGAAUCAUCGAAUCUUUGAACGCGCAUUGCGGCCUCUGGUAUUCCGGGGGGCAUGCCUGUUCGAGCGUCAUUAUAACCACUCAAGCUCUCGCUUGGUAUUGGGGUUCGCGGUUUCGCGGCCCCUAAAAUCAGUGGCGGUGCCUGUCGGCUCUACGCGUAGUAAUACUUCUCGCGAUUGAGUUCGAUAGGUCUACUUGCCAGUAACCCCCAAUUUUUACAGGUUGACCUCGGAUCAGGUAGGGAUACCCGCUGAACUUAAGCAUAUCAAUAAGCGGAGGA
rnacentral:misc_RNA from 1 species